ACGGAGGAUGCAAGCGUUAUCCGGAAUGAUUGGGCGUAAAGCGUCCGCAGGUGGCAUAUCAAGUCUGCGGUCAAAGGUCGAGGCUCAACCUCGAAUCGGCCGUGGAAACUGAGAAGCUAGAGUGUGGUAGGGGCAGAGGGAAUUCCCAGUGUAGCGGUGAAAUGCGUAGAGAUGUGGAGGAACACCAGUGGCGAAGGCGACUUUCUGGCCUAUAACUGACGCUGAGGCGCGAAAGCGUGGGGAGCAAACAGGA
rnacentral:rRNA from 1 species